UACGUAGGGGGCAAGCGUUGUCCGGAUUUAUUGGGCGUAAAGAGCGUGUAGGCGGUUUGGUAGGUCCGCUGUGAAAACCUCGAGCUACACCUCGAGACGCCGGUGGAAACCAUCAGACUAGAGUCCGGAAGAGGAGAGUGGAAUUCCUGGUGUAGCGGUGAAAUGCGCAGAUAUCAGGAAGAACACCCGUGGCUAAGGCGGCUCUCUAGUACGGUACUGACGCUGAGACGCGAAAGCGUGGGGAGCGAACAGG
rnacentral:rRNA from 1 species